rnacentral:lncRNA from 1 species
UGACUUCAGAGGGCGUCUGAAUAUAAAUGCCCCCAGCACUUUGUGGGUGCUCUUUACUGGGCCUUUGCACUGUCUCCUGGAAAGAGGCAAUUGGGACCCACUAGCCUGCACUGAAUCAGUCUACUUGUGCCUUACACACACACACACAGGCAGAAUGGUCGAUCGCUUAGAAUGAGUUCCUUCAGGAUUGCCUCUUGUAAAUUAACGUAGAACUAAGAACGUUUGCACUACCACACACAGAGUUUAGGUGAUCUUGGUGCAGUGAGGGGACUGCAGUUUUGUAAAAUGAAACUCACAUGUACACGCUCUGUUGAAGACUAAGG